AAACGACUCUCGGCAACGGAUAUCUCGGCUCACGCAUCGAUGAAGAACGUAGCAAAAUACGAUACUUGGUGUGAAUUGCAGAAUCCCGUGAACCAUCGAGUUUUUGAACGCAAGUUGCGCCCUAAGCCAUCCGGUUGAGGGCACGCCUGCCUGGGCGUCACG
rnacentral:rRNA from 1 species